rnacentral:sRNA from 1 species
ACCCAGUGUGAACGUUACCAAACUGUUGCCUCGGCGGGAUCUCUGCCCCGGGUGCGUCGCCCCCCCGGACCAGGGCGCCCGCCGGAGGACCAACCAAAACUCUUAUUGUACCCCCCCUCGCGGGUUUUUUUAUAAUCUGAGCCUUCUCGGCGCCUCUCGUAGGCGUUUCGAAAAUGAAUCAAAACUUUCAACAACGGAUCUCUUGGUUCUGGCAUCGAUGAAGAACGCAGCGAAAUGCGAUAAGUAAUGUGAAUUGCAGAAUUCAGUGAAUCAUCGAAUCUUUGAACGCACAUUGCGCCCGCCAGUAUUCUGGCGGGCAUGCCUGUCCGAGCGUCAUUUCAACCCUCGAACCCCUCCGGGGGGUCGGCGUUGGGGAUCGGCCCUGCCUUGGCGGUGGCCGUCUCCGAAAUACAGUGGCGGUCUCGCCGCAGCCUCUCCUGCGCAGUAGUUUGCACACUCGCAUCGGGAGCGCGGCGCGUCCACAGCCGUUAAACACCCAACUUCUGAAAUGUUGACCUCGGAUCAGGUAGGAAUACCCGCUGAACUUAAGCAUAUCAAUAAGCGGAGGAAAAGAAACCAACAGGGAUUGCCCCAGUAACGGCGAGUGAAGCGGCAACAGCUCAAAUUUGAAAUCUGGUCCCUAGGGCCCGAGUUGUAAUUUGUAGAGGAUGCUUUUGGUGAGGUGCCGCCCGAGUUCCCUGGAACGGGACGCCACAGAGGGUGAGAGCCCCGUCUGGCUGGCCGCCGAGCCUCUGUAAAGCUCCUUCGACGAGUCGAGUAGUUUGGGAAUGCUGCUCCAAAUGGGAGGUAUAUGUCUUCUAAAGCUAAUAUUGGCCAGAGACCGAUAGCGCACAAGUAGAGUGAUCGAAAGAUGAAAACACCUUGAAAAGAGGGUAAAUAGUACGUGAAUUGUUGAAGGGAACGCUUGUGACAGACUUGGGCGCGCGGAUAUCCGGGGUCUCUCCGGGCACUUCGCUCGUCUAGGCAACAUCAUUCGUCCGGGGGAAAAGGCUCUGGAACGGGGUCCUCCGGAGGGUAUACCCGUUCAUAUACCUGCGUGAAUGAGACGCGCUCUGCAGGAGCUGCGUAUGGCACACACU